UGCGUGGGUGGUGGGGUAAGUCUGAUGUGAAAUCUCCGAGCUUAACUCGGAAAUGGCAUUGGAAACUACCUCGCUGGAGGGUUGGAGGGGGGACUGGAAUUCUCGGUGUAGCAGUGAAAUGCGUAGAUAUCGAGAGGAACACCAGUGGCGAAGGCGAGUCCCUGGACAACUCCUGACACUGAGGCACGAAAGCUGGGAGCAAACA
rnacentral:rRNA from 1 species